AGCGCGUUGCAAAUGCGACUAACACGCGUUAGUAGUGAUGCUGGCGUGCAUUUAGUAAACGCGCGACAGCAUCGCUACAAAAAGUCGCGGUGGGCGAGGGCUCUAAGUAUAAGUAUACGUAUAUC